rnacentral:snRNA from 1 species
AAACAAAGGGUGCUCGUAUACUAAAAUUGGAACGAUACAGAGAAGAUUAGCAUGGGCCCUGCACAAGGAUGACACGCAAAUUCAUGAAGUGUUCUGUAAUUUU